rnacentral:rRNA from 1 species
AGUGAACGCUGGCGGUAGGCCUAACACAUGCAAGUCGAACGGCAGCACAGUAAGCGCUUUCUCUUACGGGUGGCGAGUGGCGGACGGGUGAGGAGUACAUCGGAAUCUACUUUUUCGUGGGGGAUAACGUAGGGAAGCUUACGCUAAUACCGCAUACGACCUACGGGUGAAAGCAGUGGAUCUUCGCACCUUUCGCGACUGAAUGAGCCGAUGCCGGAUUAGCUAGUUGGCGGGGUAAAGGCCCACCAAGGCGACGAUCCGUAGCUGGUCUGAGAGGAUGAUCAGCCACACUGGAACUGAGACACGGUCCAGACUCCUACGGGAGGCAGCAGUGGGGAAUAUUGGACAAUGGGCGCAAGCCUGAUCCAGCCAUACCGCGUGGGUGAAGAAGGCCUUCGGGUUGUAAAGCCCUUUUGUUGGGAAAGAAAAGCAGCAGGUUAAUACCCCGCUGUUCUGACGGUACCCAAAGAAUAAGCACCGGCUAACUUCGUG